AUGAGCUCUAUAUGUGAGCUUUGUUCGUUUUUCUUCUCCCUACUUCUCGACCCCCCUACUGCUGCUUGCUGUUGGUGUUGUUGUCGCUCCGCUAUAACUUCAAUUAAUUUGGAAUGGAAGGAAUGCUUAAUAGAUGCCAAAAGUGAGAACCGAACAUAG
rnacentral:rRNA from 1 species